rnacentral:rRNA from 1 species
GACGAACGCUUGCGGCGUGCCUAAGAAAUGCAAGUCGAGCGAGGCCAGAGAGCUUGCUCUUGAAGCCUAGCGGCGAACGGUCGCGUAACACGUAAGCAACCUGCCCCAAAGAGGGGGAUAGCCCGCCGAAAGGCGGAUUAAUACCGCAUGUGAACAUAUUUCCGCAUGAAGAUAUGUUUAAAGCAGCAAUGCGCUUUGGGAUGGGCUUGCGGCCUAUCAGCUAGUUGGUGAGGUAACGGCUCACCAAGGCGACGACGGGUAGCUGGUCUGAGAGGAUGGUCAGCCGGACUGGGACUGAGAUACGGCCCAGACUCCUACGGGGGGCAGCAAUUAGGAAUCUUGCACAAUGGGCGAAAGCCUGAUGCAGCGACGCCGCGUGAAGGAUGACGGCCUUCGGGUUGUAAACUUCUUUUGUCAGGGAAGAAAAAAAUGACGGUACCUGACGAAUAAGCCCCGGCUAACUACGUGCCAGCAGCCGCCGUAAUAC